rnacentral:tRNA from 1 species
AGCAUCAGUGGCCAACGGUCGUCAGGAUCGUUGAGCUGCAUUGGCGGGAUUUCGCCGUCUACGUUUCUCUUUCUUCGCGGACGAACACGCGCUGGGCCUGUAUGCGCAGGAUCCCUGGUCCUUGACGGGAUAUGCGUUAGGGGCUUGUAGCUCAGUUGGUUAGAGCGCGCGCUUGAUAAGCGUGAGGUCGGAAGUUCAAGUCUUCCCAGGCCCACCACACUCAUCGAGUGAGCAUUCGUCUUCUGGUUACGGGGCCAUAGCUCAGCUGGGAGAGCGCGUGCUUUGCAAGCAUGAGGUCGUCGGUUCGAUCCCGUCUGGCUCCACCAGAUGGUUUGAUCAUCGACUGAUCGUUGCACCUAAAUCGUCCGCGAUACAUCACUUCGCAUCUUGCUAGUCUGGAUAGACAGCAGGUUGCGUGAUUUCUGACAUCGUAAAGAGGAGAUCGAUCCGAGUUGGAUCGGGCAACAAGCAAUUGUUGCGCGAUACUUCAUUAUCUCCGGAUCAUUUCGGCGCUUGCGCGCCUUUCAGUGCAGCUCACAAGGCUGCGUCUGAAAGACGGGCGAGUUGUAAAUGAUCCUUUUAGCGAAGCUUGACCGCCUCGCUAUCGGAACGAUCUUACGAAGCAAGCUGGUCUUUCUAAUCAUUGUCCGGCUGCAGAUAGCGUUCAUCGAGGGCGCGUGCCUUAGAGAUUUAGGUCUCUUGGUAAUUCUGCAGACAACAUUCUGCCGAGUGUGUGGACAUUGAUAAUGAGAGCAAUCAAGUGCCUUAAGGGUGUUCGGUGGAUGCCUUGGCGCUGAGAGGCGAUGAAGGACGUGGUAC